AACGAACGCUGGCGGCAUGCCUAACACAUGCAAGUCGAACGAGACCUUCGGGUCUAGUGGCGCACGGGUGCGUAACGCGUGGGAACCUGCCCUUAGGUUCGGAAUAACUCCCCGAAAGGGGUGCUAAUACCGGAUAAUGUCUUCGGACCAAAGAUUUAUCGCCUUUGGAUGGGCCCGCGUUGGAUUAGCUAGUUGGUAGGGUAAAAGCCUACCAAGGCGACGAUCCAUAGCUGGUCUGAGAGGAUGAUCAGCCACACUGGGACUGAGACACGGCCCAGACUCCUACGGGAGGCAGCAGUGGGGAAUAUUGGACAAUGGGCGAAAGCCUGAUCCAGCAAUGCCGCGUGAGUGAUGAAGGCCUUAGGGUUGCAAAGCUCUUUUACGCGGGAUGAUAAUGACAGUACCGGGAGAAUAAGCUCCGGCUAACUCCGUG
rnacentral:rRNA from 1 species